ACUGAAAAGAGCCUGGCUUUGUCCUCUUUUCACCCUCCCUUCAGGUGCUCCUCUUUCCCCAGGGUUGAAGCAUUUUUUGCAUUUCUUGCUUGUGCCUUGAAUCUGCAAAACCACCAGCAAGGGCUGCAUGGGAAGCAUAACUGUGUGCCUCUCAGGAGCACAGAGAACAGGCAUAGCUGGCAUUGUGCUCAACUCUAUUCUUCCUCACGUGAAUGCUUCUUCCAGAAGCCUCUACUACAGAUCCUACACUGAAUGGUGGGGUAGUAAGGUGUGGGAGGGAAUUGGUCUUUGUAGAUGGUGGUGUUCCCCCAGCCCCAUGCAAUAACAAUCCUGGGAGCCUUCCCAGACUCUCCCCUCAGCUAUGCAUCUCUCUUUGGCUUCCACUGAAUCAGCAGUCCCCUGUGCGCUGGGCCCAGCCCCCUUCAUCCUGCCGUUCGUCAUUUCUGAUCCAAUAAAUUACAGCACCGUUAAAAUGCA